CUGCAGCCGCCGCCAUGACCAGCAGCAUGUGAAGAUGCCGGCUUCCAUUAUGGACUAGGAACCAGAGGCACCAGAUGGAGACUUCUGGGGACACCCUGCCUCAUAGAGUGAGCCUUUUGUGGUCCCCCCUCUUCCAUGAGAGUCAGCUAUUGUGGGACUACUCUGACUGCUGAAACAUCCAGCCUCAAGGACCAAAAUACAUACCAGAAAUGUUCAAAGGUUUCAUACAUAGAGUCACCAGAUUCCACACACCUCACAAGAAGUGCAUCAGGAUCAUCAAAUGCAAUUGAUACGUUCUUUAAUUCAUGCACACCAUGGACUUCCAGUGCUCUCCAUACUGAGGAGUCUUUAGUAACCAUAGGUUCCGACCAGCUGAAGAGUCAUGUUCAGUGGUUCUCUAAGGUCACUAGAGACUCCACUAGAAGAGCUGAGUGUAUUGGUGUUUGUUCUGCCCAUGAUGUUGGGCUAUAGGACCCAAAGGAAGUGGUGCUUCCCGCCAUUGUACAUGACCUCUUAAAAAGGGAGGGAGAUGGGUCACAUGCCCCUUCUCCCUGCUGCCUCCCUGCGAGGUGGAUUCCCUCCCGGUCAGAUCAGAGGACAACUUCAGCUGUCUAUUCUGUUCUGUAUUUGUGAAUGUAUUUCCUCAAUUUAUAUCUUAAUAAAUCCCUACUACUCAUUAAAUAGACUCACGUGGAUUGAUCACAGUAGAUCAGCCUUACAAUUCUGUUUCUCCAGCCACAUUCCCAGUACCACAAUUUGUUUUAGUCAGGGUCCUCUAGGGGAAUAGAACAAAGAGGGUGUGUGAACACAAACACACACACACACACACACA